GCUCAGGUGGUGGAAUCGGUAGACACGUACGCUUGAGGGGCGUAUGCCGUAAGGUGUAGGGGUUCAAAUCCCCUCCUGAGCACCA
rnacentral:tRNA from 1 species